CUCAUCACUCACUGGAUCAGAACCUCAAGACAGCCAUGUCUUCAAGCUCCCUGUCCAUCGUAGUACUGGCCAUGCUCUUCACAGGGUGUGCAGGUGACAUCCUGAUGACCCAGAGUCCUGCAGCUGUGUUGGUACAGCCUGGAGGUUCUGCCACUCUCAGCUGUAAAGCCAGCAGUAACAUCGAUGAUGACCUAGCCUGGUACCAUCACAAACCUGGACAAGCUCCUAAAUUCAUCAUCAACUUGGAUACUGCGGGAAGGGCUGGUAUCAAGGCAGGCAGGUAUCAUGGCACAGGAUAUGACAUUGAUUUCGCACUGACGAUCAAUAACGUCCAGGCUGAGGAUGCAGGAGAUUACUACUGUCAACAACAUGAAGCUUUCCCGUUCACACAGUGAAAAACAGCCGUACAAAAACCUCCUCAAGCUAUGAGGAAGUACUCUCCCUGCUUCACAUCUGCUCUCUGGAGUGCAGCUCACAGGUCUAAACAACAACAACUACUCUACCAUUAUCUUCUAGAACAAACAAUGUUACAAGAAGAUUGUAGAUCUGUUUAUGUGUGUUUUACAUUAAGGAGACUCCAGUAAAAGUAGAAGGUGAGAAUAUGUACAGUAUUUAAUGAUGAUAACUCAUCGGAAACCAUCGCUGGUUGCCAAGA